UACGUAGGGCGCAAGCGUUGUCCGGAAUUAUUGGGCGUAAAGAGCUCGUAGGCGGCCUGUUGCGUCCGCUGUGAAAUCCCGGGGCUUAACCCCGGGCGUGCAGUGGAUACGGGCAGGCUGGAGGCAGGCAGGGGAGAACGGAAUUCCCGGUGGUAGCGGUGAAAUGCGCAGAUAUCGGGAGGAACACCGGUGGCGAAGGCGGCCAACUGGACGAAUACUGACGCUGAGACUCGAAAGCGUGGGGAGCAAACAGG
rnacentral:rRNA from 1 species